AAGGUGAAAUUUAAAAGUUAAUAAUUGUUCGUAUUUUAUUGCCGUUGUAGAACUAAGCGAUCUGGAUUUAUAUAUUUCAAAAAAUACUUUAGAAUAUCAGUAAGAAUAAUAUGGCAUUUCGAGUCCAGCCCAAUAAGAAGCCCAGCUAAAUGAACAACUUAAAAUGACCAAAAUAACCUCUGCUUCUUCAAUUCAUUUUACAGUGCACAGAGUCGAAACACAUUGAUUUCCUUACCACCAAAAACAAAGAAUUAAUCACAGAGAAUGAUUCCAGAGCAAUGGGCGCCUCUAUGCAACUCUCAAUGCAUCCAUAAAUACGUUUCUCUCUUCCAAAUCCCAUGGAGAGUAUUCUACAAAGACCCUGUCCUCAAGGACAAGCAGUGGAGUGCGUAUAUUGAUCGUUCCCCUGGUUCUGUCAGGAAUGCUUUCGUGCUUGCAUAGCUGGCUGUAGUUACAAGUUUGAUAUUCCUGCAGAGAAACUGGAACAAGUUCAUGCAAGACCGCAGAAGCUUCCACCUGAAGAGAAACUGAGACCACCUGCUGCUGAGUCCAGACUCCCUCUCGUCUACGUUCCUUGUGGAGAUGAGGUUCUGAACACUUCUGCGUAAGCAUAUAAUCGGACAACAGACUUCAACAGAAAUAUCUCAACAGGGCCUCAGAACCCAGCAUUGCAUUUUUUUUCUGGGUAUUUUUAUGAUGAUGACAACUUUUAGUUCUAACUGCACUGAAAUGAAGGGCAACUGUGUGCAUUGUAUGAUUUUUUUUUACUAAAAAGCUUUACUCGUGGUGACUGGUUACAGUAAAAAU